rnacentral:rRNA from 1 species
UACGAAGGGGGCUAGCGUUGCUCGGAAUCACUGGGCGUAAAGCGCACGUAGGCGGAUUGCUAAGUCAGGGGUGAAAUCCUGGAGCUCAACUCCAGAACUGCCUUCGAUACUGGCGAUCUUGGAGUCCGGGAGAGGUGAGUGGAACUGCGAGUGUAGAGGUGAAAUUCGUAGAUAUUCGCAAGAACACCAGUGGCGAAGGCGGCUCACUGGCCCGGUACUGACGCUGAGGUGCGAAAGCGUGGGGAGCAAACAGGG